rnacentral:lncRNA from 1 species
ACCCCGAGGCCCCGCCUCCCACGUGCGGGUGCUCCUCUCCCAGAGCUCACCAGUCCUUCCAGCAGUCCUCAGGUUGCACGCGACCAGCAGUGGACUUUACUGAGUAGGGGUGGGAAGCCGGUGGCUCCGGGCAGCCGUGAUAACCCGGCACAGAAGCAGAGUCGCAUUUCGGAGCGUCCACCCGUAACCUGGCUUCUCGCACAUGGAGCCCAUAGUCCAGGAGAGAGAAGGCCAGGGCGGCCCUGGAGAGGUUGUAGGUGCAGGCGGAUCGGCGGCGGAGACCCCUUCGUGCUCAGGAAGGCACUGUGAGCUGCAUGGAGCUGAACCCCUUUCCCAGACAGUAGAGUCUCCCCUCCCCCUCCGGGGACCUUUACCUGUCACCUCCUGAAGGAUCGAACAGGGAUUGUCCACUAAAGUAGCCUUAGGUACCAUUUGUCUAGGGCACGCUGGCUGGGCCUCAGAACUUAGUACUCUGGGCCAUUGAGCUGUCCAUGGAGAACAGGGAGCAUCACUUUUAUGUAGGGAUUGUGCCCGGGGCUGGGGCAUGGGCUGGAGCUAAUGUCCACAGGCAGUGCCAGCAAUAUGCCAAAUGCACCAAGCACCAAGGCAAAGCCACAAGGCUGCAGAUGACUUCUUUCAGGCAACUCAGUUUUGUGCUAGACCUCAAUAGACUUUCUUUUGUCAGGACCAUGCAAAGAGUGGAACACCAGCUAUUCAAGGGUGUAGAUGAAAGUUGCUCCCCAAAACUAAGAGUUGUGUGAGUUACAUUUAGACCCUGCAUCCAAAGGUUUAUUAAGAUAACCUAAAAUGCCUUUGAGAUGACAAACGUUAGGACUCAUCAUUUUACUUAGAUUUGCCUCCUACCGUUAUAAUUUUAGGCUCCCUCAUAAUCCUACUAACAUUCUAUUCUCUCUGUACUAUUUUUUCUUUCAUUCAACAAUAUCGUUUCAUCCUGGCCAAGUUCUUUCCUCUCUUCCUUCCCAGCAUGCACUUGGUUCUGCUGUAGACUCCACUCUCUUCAGUACCACAACAGGACUACUUAUUCCUUAGGCGAUGUACAGCCAAACAAGUUAUAUGUAUAUUGGAGUUUUGACUUAUAUAUGUCUACAUAAACCUUUGGAGCCUUGGAACCCUUGAAACAGGAGUUACAGACAUGAGCUGCCAUGUGGGUGCUGGGAAUUGAACCCAGAUCCUCUGGAGGAACAGCCAGUGCUCUUGAGUCAUCUUUCCAGCCCCUGGAAUAUUUUUCAAGACAUUUCUCAUCUGUGCCUUAAAGACUAAUAGAACUGUAACUUAUAAGUGUAACUGAAAGGGCAUUUUUUUUCCCUUGAAGAAAUGCUUAUCGAAUAAGGAAAUCAAUAGUCUAAAGGUGAUUAAAAUAUUAAUUUAUGCAAAA